AUCGGGGAGUUGAUUUCCGUGUGACCUCUGCUGUUCGGAUAGGGAACAAUAUUCGGGACGUGACUGUCCCAAAGGGAAUCGUGCAGGAUUUCGGCACUCUAGGAUCCGCCUUCAGUUGUAGACAUUCCCUCGGCGGACUAGGCAGCGAGAUUUACCACACAUACCACACGGAUAGAGGAAACCCCGGCCACCAGAAGUGACAGAGCAACCCUCUCUAUAUGGUAAGCCGCUGUAUGUAAGAGUCUAUCCCUCGUCCAAAUACUCGAAGUGACCGGCCGAAUCGUAAAAAUUCGCAUGUCCUUUGCACACACAAACACUGGCGCGCACAUACAAAUUUAUCUCCAUUUGACCCUCUUCAAAGUGCUUUUUAUAGUCAUUUAGUGUUUUGGCCCUCC